CUCUGAGUGAUAUACUACUCAGUAUACCCUGCUCAAUGUAUAUAUAAAUAGCCGCAGAAAUCUGUGCUAAGGUAGCAUAAUCAUUUGCCUUCUAAUUAAAGGCUAGCAUGAAUGGGAUAUCAUGUAAAUUCCUUUAUAAAAAGUUUCCUUUACAUUUACUUAUAAGUAAAAAGGCUUAUAUUAUUAGAGGGACGACAAGACCCUAUCAAGCUUUACUUUUAGUUUCACUGGGGUGGUGAAAAAACCAAAUCUUUUAUUUAUUUUAAUAAAUAACUAUAUUUUAAACUAUGAACAAGCUACUGUAGGGAUAACAGCACAAUUCUUGUUUAAAGUUCUUAUUUAAACAAGAGAUUAUGACCUCGAUGUUGAAUAAAAAAUCUAUAAAGAGCAAAUUCUUUAAAAGAAAGUCUGUUCGACUUUUAAUAUUUUACA
rnacentral:rRNA from 1 species